rnacentral:rRNA from 1 species
UACGUAGGGUGCAAGCGUUGUCCGGAAUUAUUGGGCGUAAAGAGCUCGUAGGCGGUUUGUCGCGUCUGCUGUGAAAACCCGAGGCUCAACCUCGGGCCUGCAGUGGGUACGGGCAGACUAGAGUGCGGUAGGGGAGAUUGGAAUUCCUGGUGUAGCGGUGAAAUGCGCAGAUAUCAGGAGGAACACCAGUGGCGAAGGCGGUGCUCUGGGCCGGUACUGACGCUGAGGAGCGAAAGCGUGGGGAGCAAACAGG